rnacentral:rRNA from 1 species
GAGCGCACCUUCGGGUGAGCGGCGGACGGGUUAGUAACGCGUGGGAAUAUGCCCAAAGGUACGGAAUAGCCUCUGGAAACGGAGAGUAAUACCGUAUGUGCCCUUCGGGGGAAAGAUUUAUCGCCUUUGGAUUAGCCCGCGUCUGAUUAGAUAGUUGGUGGGGUAACGGCCUACCAAGUCGACGAUCAGUAGCUGGUUUGAGAGGAUGAUCAGCAACACUGGGACUGAGACACGGCCCAGACUCCUACGGGAGGCAGCAGUGGGGAAUCUUAGACAAUGGGCGCAAGCCUGAUCUAGCCAUGCCGCGUGAGUGACGAAGGUCUUAGGAUCGUAAAGCUCUUUCGCCAGGGAUGAUAAUGACAGUACCUGGUAAAGAAACCCCGGCUAACUCCGUGCCAGCAGCCGCGGUAAUACGGAGGGGGUUAGCGUUGUUCGGAAUUACUGGGCGUAAAGCGCACGUAGGCGGAUUAUUAAGUCAGAGGUGAAAUCCCGGGGCUCAACCCCGGAACUGCCUUUGAUACUGGUAAUCUUGAGUUCGAGAGAGGUGAGUGGAAUUCCGAGUGUAGAGGUGAAAUUCGUAGAUAUUCGGAGGAACACCAGUGGCGAAGGCGGCUCACUGGCUCGAUACUGACGCUGAGGUGCGAAAGUGUGGGGAGCAAACAGGAUUAGAUACCCUGGUAGUCCACACCGUAAACGAUGAAUGCCAGACGUCGGGGGGCUUGCCCUUCGGUGUCA